UACGAAGGGGGCUAGCGUUGUUCGGAAUCACUGGGCGUAAAGGCGCGUAGGCGGCUUUAUAAGUCGGGGGUGAAAGCCUGUGGCGUCAACCACGACGAAUUGCCUUCGAUACGUGUAGAGCGUUGGAGACCGGAAGAGGUAAGUGGAACGUGCGAGUGUAGAGGUGAAAUUCGUCAGAUAGUUCGGCAAGAACACCAGUCGGCGAAGGCG
rnacentral:rRNA from 1 species